AAUAGAUACCCCGGUAGUCCACGCCGUAAACGAUGAGUGCUAAGUGUUAGAGGGUUUCCGCCCUUUAGUGCUGCAGCUAACGCAUUAAGCACUCCGCCUGGGGAGUACGGUCGCAAGACUGAAACUCAAAGGAAUUGACGGGGGCCCGCACAAGCGGUGGAGCAUGUGGUUUAAUUCGAAGCAACGCGAAGAACCUUACCAGGUCUUGACAUCCUCUGACAACUCUAGAGAUAGAGCGUUCCCCUUCGGGGGACAGAGUGACAGGUGGUGCAUGGUUGUCGUCAGCUCGUGUCGUGAGAUGUUGGGUUAAGUCCCGCAACGAGCGCAACCCUUGAUCUUAGUUGCCAGCAUUUAGUUGGGCACUCUAAGGUGACUGCCGGUGACAAACCGGAGGAAGGUGGGGAUGACGUCAAAUCAUCAUGUCCCUUAUGACCUGGGCUACACACGUGCUACAAUGGAUGGUACAAAGGGCUGCAAGCCGCGAGGUCAAGCCAAUCCCAUAAAACCCAUUCUCAGUUCGGA
rnacentral:rRNA from 1 species